UCGCCAACUGCAAUGCAUUGAGGUGUAGCAGUUGACUAGACAUCUAGGGGUAAAACACUAUUUCGGUGCAGGCCACGAGAACGGAACCAAAUCGAGGCAAACUCUAAAUAUUAGAUAUGACCUCCAAAUAAUAGGAGUCAAGGUUAGCCAGUGAGACAAUGGGAGAUAAGCUUCAUUGUUGAGAGGGAAAUAGCCCGGAUCACCAGCUAAGGCCCCUAAAUGACCACUUAGUGAUAAAGGAGGUAGGGGUGUAGAGAUAGCCAGGAGGUUUGCCUAGAAGUAGCCACCCUUAAAAGAAUGUGUAAUAGCUCAUUGAUCAAGCACUCUACGCGGAAGAUGAAUGGGGCUAAGUGACCUACUAAAGUUGUGGGAUGUAAAAAUACAUAGGUAAGGGAGCAUUUUGCCUUAGAGGGAAGCACCUGCGAGAGCAGGGGUAGACGAAGCGGAAGUG
rnacentral:ncRNA from 1 species